UACGAAGGGUGCAAGCGUUACUCGGAAUUACUGGGCGUAAAGCGUGCGUAGGCGGUUUGUUAAGUCCGCUGUGAAAGCCCUGGGCUCAACCUGGGAAUUGCAGUGGAUACUGGCAAGCUAGAGUGCGGUAGAGGAUGGUGGAAUUCCCGGUGUAGCGGUGAAAUGCGUAGAUAUCGGGAAGAACAUCGGUGGCGAAAGCGCUCUACUGGACCGCAACUGACACUCAGGGACGAAAGCUAGGGGAGCGAAUGGG
rnacentral:rRNA from 1 species